rnacentral:rRNA from 1 species
CGGACGGGUGAGUAACGCGUGGGUAACCUGCCUUGUACUGGGGGACAACAGUUGGAAACGACUGCUAAUACCGCAUAAGCGCACAGCUUCGCAUGAAGCAGUGCGAAAAACUCCGGUGGUACAAGAUGGACCCGCGUCUGAUUAGCUGGUUGGUGAGGUAACGGCCCACCAAGGCGACGAUCAGUAGCCGGCCUGAGAGGGUGAACGGCCACAUUGGGACUGAGACACGGCCCAA